UUAAGUUCAGCGGGUAUUCCUACCUGAUCCGAGGUCAACCUUCAGAAAGUGGGGGGUUUAACGGCGUGGUCGUCGCUCAGUUCCAGUGCGAGAUAUUGCUACUACGCAGAGGAGGCUAUCGCGAGACCGCCACUAGAUUUCGGGGCCGGCCUGCCGCUAGGGGCGGGCCGUUCCCCAACACCAAGCCCGGGGGCUUGAGG
rnacentral:misc_RNA from 1 species